GGUUUGCUUCCUUCUUUCUUGCAGAAGAGAAACCGGAUGAUCAGAAGCUGCUUCAAGCGUCAUCCUGAUGAACUUGGCAAAACCCUUGCUGCAAUUUUCUUUAAUCGGGUUACAGAAAUCUUAAACACUCGAUGUACAAAGACAAAAAGCUUUUGUUGAUUCCUCGGUUGGUUAUGUAUAUAGGAUAAGGCUAACUUUUGGUCCACCUAAUACCACUUUCGGUUUAGCCGAAAUUAGUUGUUUCGGAAAUGGGAAGCAAUUAGUUUCGGGUUUGGUUUUCUUAAUGUGGUUGCCUUUCAAAUUUCAAUAGUCGGUUCAGCUUUUGCUUGAAGUCGCAGAUACACAAAAUUGUCAGAACAUCAGUGAUUAUUAAAAAGGUUAUAUUGAAAGAGUGUUACAAGGCAAAUAGAAAAUAUCAAGAUCCUCUGCAAGCUGUACAGACACAGCAGCUGUAGGUACAAAACGAAACAGAAUUUUGUAAUAUUCUGAAAUAAAUGACAAAACCAGAUAAGCCAUCCCUGAGGCAAUUGGUGUUCAGCCAAAGCAAAACGGCUAAACAACCAAGACCUCAAUUUUUAAGAUGCAUCCUAUUGGCUGAAUCCAAUGGUCUUUAUUGUGUCUGAAAUUCGUGUUUGUUCUGACGGUGAGGAUGAAGUCGGACUGUCCAGCACGCACUAGUUCAAGACACAACUUUCCUUUUUCUCCUAUAGGUUAGUUAUGUAAGCUGAAGCAUGAGCUCCAUUAUACAAAAACGGCACUGAUUUGGGAAAUAAAUUUAUAACCCAAGUAUUUGUUAGUGUAUUAGAAUAUAAUAUUUACAUGAUUUUGUAUGUUUUUAUUCAUUCUUAUACAUUUACAUAAUCUUAUAAAUUUCCUAACUAAACAUGACGUGAGGAUUUUUUUACUUUUUUAUAUUUUUAGUGUAAAUAUGACAUCUGAUAUGAUCUUAAUUUAACCGGUCAAAUGG
rnacentral:lncRNA from 1 species